rnacentral:tRNA from 1 species
ACUUUCAAAGGAGAGAAGUAAU